AGAGUUUGAUCCUGGCUCAGAUUGAACGCUGGCGGCAUGCUUUACACAUGCAAGUCGAACGGCAGCGGNGGCAACCUGGCGGCGAGUGGCGAACGGGUGAGUAAUAUAUCGGAACGUACCCAGAAGUGGGGGAUAACGUAGCGAAAGUUACGCUAAUACCGCAUACGAUCUACGGAUGAAAGUGGGGGACCUUCGGGCCUCAUGCUUUUGGAGCGGCCGAUAUCUGAUUAGCUAGUUGGUGAGGUAAAGGCUCACCAAGGCGACGAUCAGUAGCUGGUCUGAGAGGACGACCAGCCACACUGGGACUGAGACACGGCCCAGACUCCUACGGGAGGCAGCAGUGGGGAAUUUUGGACAAUGGGGGCAACCCUGAUCCAGCAAUGCCGCGUGAGUGAAGAAGGCCUUCGGGUUGUAAAGCUCUUUUGUCAGGGAAGAAACGGCUGAGGUUAAUACCUUCGGCUAAUGACGGUACCUGAAGAAUAAGCACCGGCUAACUACGUGCCAGCAGCCGCGGUAAUACGUAGGGUGCAAGCGUUAAUCGGAAUUACUGGGCGUAAAGCGUGCGCAGGCGGUUUUGUAAGUCUGACGUGAAAUCCCCGGGCUCAACCUGGGAAUUGCGUUGGAGACUGCAAGGCUGGAGUCUGGCAGAGGGGGGUAGAAUUCCACGUAGCAGUGAAAUGCGUAGAGAUGUGGAGGAACACCGAUGGCGAAGGCAGCCCCCUGGGUCAAGACUGACGCUCAUGCACGAAAGCGUGGGGAGCAAACAGGAUUAGAUACCCUAGUAGUCC
rnacentral:rRNA from 1 species